AGUAAAGUCAGCUAAUUAAGCUCCUGGACCCAUACCCCAAUAAAAUGUCGGUUAAAAUCCCUCCUAUACUA
rnacentral:tRNA from 1 species